UUUGCUACUUCUGUUAUUGAUUUGUGAUGAAGUUAAUGCCUUCAUGGACUACUUUGGUGAUGAUCUGCUAUGCCAUGUCCUUAUGUUGUUAUGAACUAAUGGUUUGCAUUGUAAUACUUGCUGCGUGCCUCUUCUGUUAUGAAAUGAAAAUCUAUACAUGUAAUUAAAUUUGCACUGAAUAUUAUAUGGAACUCUCAUGUACUUAUGAGCUUAUGUUGUGUUCCAGGCCAUUGAGAGUUUGCUCAGCAAAAAGAUAUUCCUUAAUAUAGAGUAUGGAGUCAAUGGAUACGAGUGAGUAUGCACAAGGUCAAGAUGAAACUCAUAAGGAAAUAUUGUCAACACUUUGGAUUAUUUUCACUAAAAUCGGCAAAGGAAAAGAUGGAGUUGAAAGAGCUGCAUGCAAUUUUUGUAGUACUGAUUUUGCCAUUGGAAAAAACCCCAAGUCUGGUCAAAGUUAUGGAACUUCACAUCUAAGUCGUCA